rnacentral:rRNA from 1 species
UACGAAGGGGGCUAGCGUUGCUCGGAAUUACUGGGCGUAAAGGGCGCGUAGGCGGCUCUGUUAGUCAGGCGUGAAAUCCCCGGGCUCAACCCGGGAACUGCGUCCGAGACUGGCAGGCUCGAAUCCGGGAGAGGGAUGUGGAAUUCCAGGUGUAGCGGUGAAAUGCGUAGAUAUCUGGAGGAACACCGGUGGCGAAGGCGGCAUCCUGGACCGGUAUUGACGCUGAGGCGCGAAAGCCAGGGGAGCAAACGGG